CCCGCCCGGGACCGAGGGAGCGUGACCGCCUUUUCCCUUCCAGCUGCGGGGGACGGCGCAGUAGAGGACCGCCGCCCGGCCACUUAUAUAAAAGGGAGUCAGGGCCACGGGCGGAAUCAACUGGAAUCCUCACUUUCUCAAGCCAGGGCCACCGAUCGCCCAGCCCGCAGCCUUACCGGGCGUGACGGGCGCCCCUCCCCCGGCAGCGCAUUUCCGCCGCCAGUGACCCGACGCCCCCCGCCCCCCUCGCAGGCCCAGUGCCCUUGCAGGGACAGAUUGCACACCCAUAGCACAGGUCUUUAGUACUCUGCGAAUAACGUGAUGAUAUAAAGGUUGGAUUGAGAAAGGAAGGAAAAAAAAAAAACCAUUUUGGGUCAGUUCACGAGCGUCUGGCCCUCUGGCUUCACAAGUCAGGAAAGCCAGGCCGCAGUGCUGGGGAAGGGGUCUGGGGGCUUCCUCUCCGACCUGCGGGCAGCGUCAUCGGGCUCAAGAACGCACGCUGCUGGUCCGUGGGAGGCACAGGUGACCUUGGAAGGCAAAUGUGGAAGAAGGCAGAGCCUGCGUCAGCCGGGACCCUGGAAUAACCACAGGAGCGGAACCUCCCAACAUGAUGCCCGUGUUGGACUGUUACUUCUGGAGGGCAGACAUCUGGAAUGAGGCUCACAGGGCUAAAUCAAGGUGUCGGCAGGGCUGCUUCCUUCUGAGGGCUCCAAGGGAGAAUCCACUCCAUGCCUCUCCCGGUUUCCAGAGGCUGCUGGCAUUCCUUGGCUUGUGACCCCUUGUUUGCAUCACUCCGACCUCUUGCUUCCUUCUCAUCUGCUACUGCUGAAUCUGAUCUCCUGCCUCCUCAUGACACGUGAUUACAUUGGACCCACACGGAUAACCCAGAAAAAUCUCAAAAUCCUCAAUUUCAUCACAUCUGCCAAGUCUUUUUUGCUGUACAAGGUAACCGAACAGGUCGUAGGGGUUAGGAUGAGGAUAUCUUUGGGGCCCAUUAUUCAGCCUGCCACCAUGGGGGAUGUGGAUUCCUACGUGGCUUUUAAAGGCAUCAGAUUAAAAAAAAAAAAAAAGAAAAAGAAAAAGAAAAAGGGACUUCCCUGGUGGUCCAGUGAGUGACACUCCACACUCCCGAUGCAGGGGCCCUGGGUUCGAUCCCUGGUCAGGGAACUAAAUCCCGCAGGCAUGCCGCAACUAAGUCCGCAUGCUGCAACUAAAAGAUCCCGCGUGCUGCAACUAAGACCCAGUGCAAACAAAUUAAAUAAUAAAUAAAUAAAUAUUAAAAAAAGAAAAAUGCACCAGAUGACAUGGAAAGGUGAGGGAGCUGACUCCCCACAUAGUGAAAUUCAACAAAUGGGAACCAAAAGGCAGGACCUAGCCAGGAAGAGACAUUUUUUUUUCUUUCCUCUCCCUGGAGGAGUGCUCUGGGGCAGGAAUUCCCUGGAGAGCCUGUGCAGCGACAUCCCGUGUGGCCACAGAGAGGCUCCUGCCGAGCACCUGGCUGGGUCUCUUGGUGGCUCAUGGGAAACGGCAGUGGGCCUGGUGAUACGGUCCUUUGCAUUGCUUCCCAUCCUUCUCUGCCUCACUGCCUUAUCCUUGCUGCCCUGGGAUUGCACUUCCCAAGCAUCAGUAGUUCAUCUCUGCCUUGGGCUCUGUUCUCUAGGGAAUCUCAGCUGGGGUGUCCCCUCCCCCAUUGAAAGUCACCAUUUAUUCCUUCAUUUAUUCAAGAAAUAAUUACUGAGCAUCUACUAUGUUCAGACACGGAUCUAGUUAACAGAGUCACAGUAAUAAAUACGAAAAGAUUUCUGCUCUCAUGGAGCUUCCAUUCUAACGGGGGAAGACACACAAUAGACAAUUAAACAAGAAAAUAUCAUUUAGUGGCCAGUGAUGCAAUAAAGUCUAGGCAUCUUAUAUUUGGUGGUGAAGAAAGGCUUUUCUAGGGGGUUGACACUUAAGCCGAGGCCUGAAUGACAAAGAGUCAUUUGUGCAGAAGCUGGGGAAGGAGAGGUGACCUUAAUGGCAGGUAUCAAUUUGCCAUCUCACAUGCAUGAUUCUAGGUAGCGUGCUCUGGGUGAAUAGCAGCAGAAAUUUACUUUUAAAAAAUUCUUGAUUCUACCGAGGCAACAGGAGGCCAGAUGGUUUAAAAGACAAAAUAAACAUUUCAGCAGAGGCUUCCUACUAACCAAUAAAUGGGACUUUCUUUGUCGUCAAAGGAUGUAUUUUGUUUCAUUUUAGAAAUUAGAUUUUUCUCUACACUAAGCAUCAUUUAAGAGGAAGGACCAUGAAAUUAAAAGUGAUGAAUCUACCU